UCUCAGGCUGUGACUCUCCAAAGGGAAGAACUUUCUGUUGUCUAAAAGAAAAGAAAAGAACGCACUUCCCUUUAGAGUGUUACCGUGUGAGA
ensembl:miRNA